UCUACUUUCUGUUUGUAUUUUCCCAGCCUUCUCAGUUGGGUGUCCUGAAUUUAGAAAAUUUGGGCAGUUUGUUUGGCAUCCAUUUGAAAUAUAGAGGUCCAGGGAUUUAGGUGUAGGGAUUGAGGUAGUGGAGGUUCAUAGCUUUUUAAUCAGAGCGGUGUUUGAGAAACUGAGAUUUUAAAUGGACUUUCCAAGAAAGGAAAACAUUGCUGGACUUGAUAUGGAAGAUUAUCAGGUGAUUUUGACCCACGGGAUUUCGAUUUCAUCCCAGGGAGUUGCCUGGGAAAGCGAAAAUGGGAAAAAAAAAAAAAAAAAAAGGAGUGGUAUUUUUCUGUCAGAGACCGGAAAUACCCAACUGGUCUAAGGACCAAUAGGGCUACUGAUGCUGGCUACUGGAAAACCAUAGGGAAUGACAAGGAGAUUUUCAGAGGAAAAUCUCUGGUUGGAAUGAGGACAACUCUUGUGUUCUACGAGGGGAGAGCUCCAAAGGGAGAUAAAACCAAUUGGGUCAUGCAGGAAUACAGAUUAGAAGGAAUGAAUGGAUGAUUUGCAGGGUAUUCCAGAAACCAAGAAGAGAUAAUUGAUUUCUUUGACAAUCCUCUCCUUGCCAUUUCCUCCAACCCUUCUGAUAUUUUCCCAAACUCCUACUUAUCUCAAAUAUGUUAGAUUCAGUUGGUGUUUAGCUCAUAUUGUUUUCCAUUUUCCUACAUUAAA